CACGUAGGGUGCGAGCGUUGUCCGGAAUUAUUGGGCGUAAAGAGCUCGUAGGCGGUGUGUCGCGUCGGCCGUGAAAACCUGCAGCUUAACUGUGGGCGUGCGGUCGAUACGGGCAUCACUGGAGUUCGGCAGGGGAGACUGGAAUUCCUGGUGUAGCGGUGAAAUGCGCAGAUAUCAGGAGGAACACCGGUGGCGAAGGCGGGUCUCUGGGCCGAUACUGACGCUGGAGACGCGAAAGCCGUGGGGAGCAAACAGG
rnacentral:rRNA from 1 species